GACGAACGCUGGCGGCGUGCUUAACACAUGCAAGUCACGGGGGCUCGCAAGAGCAACCGGCGAACGGGUGCGUAACACGUGAGCAACCUGCCUUAGUGUGGGGGAUAGCCGGCCCAACGGCCGGGUAAUACCGCAUACGAUCUCGAAGAGGAGUCUCUUUGAGAGGAAACCUCCGGGGCACUAAGAGGGGCUCGCGGCCUAUCAGCUAGUUGGCGGUGUAAUGGACCACCAAGGCGACGACGGGUAGCUGGUCUGAGAGGAUGGCCAGCCACAUUGGGACUGAGAGACGGCCCAGACUCCUACGGGAGGCAGCAGUGGGGAAUCUUGCGCAAUGGCCGAAAGGCUGACGCAGCGACGCCGCGUGUGGGAUGAAGCAUUUCGGUGUGUAAACCACUGUUGCCCGGGACGAAACCGCCUAUUCGUGGGCGUUGACGGUGCC
rnacentral:rRNA from 1 species